rnacentral:rRNA from 1 species
UGAGAGUGGGUAGUCCGCACGAGCGCACCUUGAUCCUUAGUUACCAGCGGUUUGGCCGGGAACUCUAAGGAUACUGCCAGUGACAAACUGGAGGAAGGCGGGGACGACGUCAAGUCAUCACGGCCCUUACGACCAGGGGCUACACACGUGCUACAAUGGUAGGUACAGAGGGCAGCUACACAGCGAUGUGAUGCGAAUCUCAAAAAGCCUAUCGUAGUCCGGAUUGGAGUCUGCAACUCGACUCCAUGAAGUAGGAAUCGCUAGUAAUCGCGGAUCAGAAUGCCGCGGUGAAUACGUUCCCGGGCCUUGUACACACCGCCCGUCACACCAUGGGAGUUGAUUGCACCAGAAGUGGGUAGCCUAACCUUUUAGGAUGGCGCUCACCACGGUGUGGUUGAUGACUGGGGUGAAGUCGUAACAAGGUAGCCGUAGGGGAACCUGCGGCUGGAUCACCUCCUU